rnacentral:lncRNA from 1 species
UACAGAGUGCAAGUCAGAAAAAAAACGAGAUGAACUACGUCUACUGAGAGAUAAAGAACUAGAACUGCUUAAAGAAUGCUGUAGCAAAAUCAGGAGUACUCCCAACAUGUAGCAGAUGUUUAAAAACUUCCUCGAAAAGUCAAUAGGCCUGCAUAAACUUACAGGAUUUUAGAAAUCAUCAACAAUAUAAGAAAGAAAAUGGAUGAAAUUGACAGAAUUUGAGAUUGAUUCUGAAUCUUCAAAAGAUAUGGGCGCUAAUUUAGAAAGGAUAAAAGUGGAUCUGAAGCAAAUGAGACAGGGGACUGUAUCUUUAAGUACACAAUAUUCUACAUCGAUCAUCAUCAAGCCUAGAUUUGAUUAUGCAAGAAACUUCAUUGAGAUCACCUAAGGUUUAUCGUGGAGUAGGGGCUAUAGGAUAUACUUGGACAGUGCAGCAAUAUUGCUAUGUAUAAAGGUCUUGUUGGAAAUCGGUGCUGUGAUCUUUAAAGAAGGCAUACCUUCACUAGUGGAUUGCGAGCUUUCUUCAUUGAAGUUGUAUCCGCAAUCAUUAAACAAGGUAAUAUAAGUCAUUGACUGUCCGGAGUGAUCAUUGUACGAGUCACAUGAUUGUGCAUUGUCAUUUGAUUGUGAUGAUUUUGCAUUCUUGAAGAAAUCACCUCUGAUGAUAUAAGUAUAAUUCUAAUUUUCAAUUUUACUUAUUUGAUAUUUGGAAAAUACUAUUAUCUGCAUGCUGUAUUAAACCUGAAAAAUGAAAACUUACUUAGAUGAUCAAAUUGUUCAGAAAAACUGCACAAGCUGUUCUCUGGGUAUGACGCCAAUUGCAUAUCGAUAUUAGAAUUUGAGAUGUCAAGAACUGUAGCUAGAAAAGUAAUUUAGAAUCUAUUAGUUUAUUAUAUUAAUUUCUAAAUUAAAGCCGCCAUAAAAACUAAAAUGAACGCCUUACGUUUAUCUGCUUCAUCUUCUGAAAUCGUUGGACACUCGUGAUCCAAAAAUAAUAUUGCUUGCUGCUUUUUACUUCGAUAGUUUUGAUCAGUCUAUUUUUUGUCUUCUAAAUCCGACAUCUUAACUUCUUCCUCACAGUUGACAAUGGCUUUGAAUUUUCAAAUUCUAAGCUUUUAUUAACAGCACGUGAAUGCUAUCACUAAUUUGAUGUAUUAUAAACGUCACUGUGUCAGCCACUUUGUAUCUGUGUUUAAAAACAUUUCCUACUUGAAAUUAUUAGACUAAACUUUCAGAUUUGUUUAAAGCAACUUACUUGAUCUAGUGCAUGAACUUCUAAUGUAAAUUUUAUUAAUCACAAUUUUUUAAAGCACGCGGUAUGAAACGGGACAAAGCGUCAAAAAGCACCACUAAGCGCCAUAUUCGAAAAUCGAAAUUACGACGCAGGCAUAUUUGGUACAUUUGACCGGGCGGCGGCAAUGUUAACACUCCGUUUGUAAACACUGUCGGUCGCAGCCAGUAUCGAUCGAAAAUCACACAGGUGCAUUGUAUAUUAUUCUGUAGGCAUACCUAAUGGAUAAUUCUGCAUUUGGCAUAUGUGAAUCUGAGACUGGCAAACGAAUUGCCUGACCCAGAAUUAAGACGAAUUCUUUGGUUAAUUUGCGUUUUGCCAAAGAUCACGCGCCAGCUAAUUAUUGCAGAUCUUCCCGCUCUGAUGUUAGAUAUUUUGAUGCUUUUAAGUUAGAUCUUAUAGUAUUUUAAGAAAGCGAAGAGGCAGUUUUUGAUUCAUCAAGAAAGAAUAAUUGCAUGAAGAAGUAUUGGCAUUUGUCAAAGUUCCCGAGCCUGUGGCGUAUAUAGGGAAAACUUUCUCACAGAAAAAAUCUACGCCUGAUGAAGUCAAAAUAAUUUUGCAAAUGCGUAGUAUAACUGAAGAUAGAGGAAUUCCAGAUGCGCUUGUUCGAAGUCAAGAUGGAAAUCAACUAGCCCUGAUGGAACAGCUCGUCGUGUGUUGACCGAGAAACAACCAAGGAAAAACAGAGUCACGACGUUUUUUCCACGGAUCUAUUUUCAGCUUCGAAGCAUUUUUCCUACUACUUAGUUGUACAAUGCAGUAUUGCUAUAUCAUUAUUUUUUAAAUAAAACUGAGACUACAAAAAAUAUGUAAACAUUUAACAGAAUAAUCUACUAAACGGUUGCAAUAAAAAAACUGCGUAUUCUGCUCCUAUCAGUCAAUUUAAAUGAUUAAUUGCUUUGAUUAUAUCAUUCUCC